rnacentral:tRNA from 1 species
AAUUCAGAUAAUUUAAGUUAAAAAUGUUAGUUUGUGGAACUAAAAAUAUAUAAGUGUAUUCUGGAUA